AUUAAAAAAAAAACCGAGUCUCCGUGUCCAACGUUUGACCGUCCAUCUUAUUUGAAAAAAUUAUGAAAAAAAAAGACUAAAAACACAAGUCACGCAAGUAUUAAUCAUAUUUUAUCAUCUAACAACAAUAAAAAUACUAAUUAUAAAAAAAAUUCAUGCAAGACGAACAGCCAAACAUUAGACACGAAAAUCUAGGGUUUGACUUUUU
rfam:Oryza glaberrima chromosome 2 Oglab02_0023_72, whole genome shotgun sequence.